AGAAAAACAGAACAAAACAAAAAAAAAAAAACAAAAAAAUUAAACAUAUAAAAAAAAUCUUAGUUCUUCAAAAAAUAUACUAGAACUUAACACCUUUAGACACUAAACUCAAUAGUAGCUGGCCAUUAUAGCCACAACAUGGCCAUUACAAGCAUUGAUAUUGCAAAUGGAGCAAACUAUAUCUACAAUCUACUCAAGCUAUUCUAUAUGUCAACUUUGUAAGAUUGAUGGAAGCAAUCACCAUCAACUUGAAAUUGCAAAACACAAUC
rnacentral:lncRNA from 1 species